rnacentral:rRNA from 1 species
CCUACGGGAGGCAGCAGUGGGGAAUUGUUCGCAAUGGGCGCAAGCCUGACGACGCAACGCCGCGUGGAGGAUGAAGGUCUUCGGAUUGUAAACUCCUGUUGAUCGGGAAGAACGGGCUCCGGAUGAAUACUCCGGAGCAGUGACGGUACCGAUUGAGGAAGCCACGGCUAACUCUGUGCCAGCAGCCGCGGUAAUACAGAGGUGGCAAGCGUUGUUCGGAAUUACUGGGCGUAAAGGGCGCGUAGGCGGCCUUGUCAGUCAGACGUGAAAUCCCCAGGCUUAACCUGGGAACUGCGUCUGAUACUACAAGGCUGGAGUUCGGGAGAGGAAUGUGGAAUUCCAGGUGUAGCGGUGAAAUGCGUAGAUAUCUGGAGGAACACCGGUGGCGAAGGCGGCAUUCUGGACCGAAACUGACGCUGAGGCGCGAAAGCCAGGGGAGCAAACGGGAUUAGAUACCCCGGUAGUCCUGGCCCUAAACGAUGAGUGCUUGGUGUGGCGGGUAUCGAUCCCUGCUGUGCCGAAGCUAACGCAUUAAGCACUCCGCCUGGGGAGUACGGUCGCAAGGCUGAAACUUAAAGGAAUUGACGG